rnacentral:lncRNA from 1 species
UCUAGCUCAACUAUCUGUAUGUCUCCUUAAGUUACAACAACAAGCCAACAAAAUGAAAACUUUAGGGAUACAAAUAUUAGAUCAUUAGAGCUUGCUUUAGUUGGCUUUCAAGAAACUAUAAAAUUUACUUUUGUCUUCACUCGACUCAGCUGAACUUUAUUUCUAGUUCUUUGUUUAGGAUCAUUCAACUCUUCAACCGCACUUUUGCUUCUCCUUACUUUGUCUUAUAUAAAAAACUUGUUUGAAGUAUUAAUGUCAAUUGGCAUAUCCAGCUGAACUUUGUCUCUAUGUAUCUACUUCUUUCUGUAUUUUUUCCAUAUUGUAGAGUAAUAUUUUUUCAAGUAUUUUUCAUUGAUCAUUCGGUCAUAUACAUCCCCAUCCAUAAUUCUCAAUUGAUACACGACACCUUGCUAUAUACGAUGCACCAUAAAUGGUCCUUCCUAAUUUGGUGACCAUUUACCAAAUUUUGGCUCUUUCUAUCCCAAUAGAAAGAUAGUUUUUCAUACUAAUUCUUCUUUUCUAAAACACUUUGGCUGAAUCCUCUUAUCAUAAAUUCGGGCCACUUUUCUCUUCUGAGCCCUUAUCCAUUCUAGCAAAUUUAACCUUUUUUCAUCUAAGGUGACUACAAGUCUGUGAAUACUCCUUUUCAAUUGCAAAUUCUAAUGUAACAUGUGCCCUGAUUUCACAGUUAAUUCCAUCGAAAGCAUAUCACCAUGAUUGAAAGUUAGAGCAUAUGAUGUUGUACCUAUAGAUGUUCUUUUUGAAGUUCUAUAACCCUAAAGUACCUCCAACAAUACUCCAUGCCAUACCUUCUGUCUUUCACCAACAAACUUCUUUAUAUUAUUUACUAGAACAUUGUUUGUUGCUUCAGCCUAUCCAUUUUCUUAUGCAUAGUAAGAGGUUGAGUGAAUUAUCUUGAACUCAGACUCUUCUGCAAAGCUUUUCACCUCUUGACCAAUAAAAAUAGGACUUUAAUCUUCUGUUAUAGUUUCUGGUUGACCGAAUCUAUGUAUAAUUUAUUGUCUAAUAAAGUCGCUAAUGGACAUCUAAUUUACUGAUCUCAUAGGGACUGGUUCAACCCAUUUAGUGAAAUAAUCAAUUGCCAUAACAAUGAACUCAUACCCUUUGAAGAAGCUGGAUAAAUUUGACCAAUCAGAUCCAUUGCCUGACCUCUGAAUGGCCAAUGUUUAAUCACAUAUUAUCAUCUUCACUAUAGGAAUUCUUUGGAUAGGUCCAUGUUUCUGACAUGCUUGAUAAUCUCUAGCAUACUGAAUGCAAUCCUCUUUCAUCUUCAGCCAAAUUUAUCCAUGCCAUGUAAUUAACUAAUGUAUUUUUAGUCUGGCUUGAUAAUUCCACAUAUUUCUUCAUGCACUUCUUCUAUUACUAAUAAAGAUUCUUCCUUUCCAAUACAUCUCAAAAAAAGACCAUCCGGCUUUCUCUUGUAUAACUCAUCCUCAAUCAAGAUAUAACUAAGGGACCUUAACCUAAUUUCUCGAUCCACACUUUCCAAAGGUUCUUUGAGAUAUUGAAUAAUCGGGUGUCUCCAAUUAUUUUGAGCAACUUGAAGCUCAUUAAUACACAAAAUCACCUCUUCAGCCAUCUACAAUUGAUGAUAGUACUCUUCUUUCUACUUAAUUAUUCUUUAUAGUAUUCCCUUAGGUAUCUUCAAUCCAGAUGUAAUUUGCGCCAGUUCAUUAGCCGAAUGAUUCUCCAUCUUAGGAAUAAAUUCUAGUAUUACUUCCAUAAAUCUUC